UAAAGACUGGAAGCGGAGGGAACCUGCUAGCCUACCUCAAGUCUGAUUUACGUGCUAGCUCCAGGGAAACAACAGCCAGGGUUUCCAGACUUCAGCCUGUUUGGAUCAUGCACAGACGUCCAGCAGCACGAAGCUCAACACAGCUCAGACCUGGAGCAAAGCCCACAUUCUUCUUCGUGUGGCGAAGCUUCGUCCGUCUGCCAGGUCCUCAGGCUCUGGAUAAUUUCUUUGGGCAAACCAACACUGAAAUCUUCCUCGCUGCUGUUUAUCCAACAGGCCGCUCCGCUCUGAAACCUCUUUCUCGUUACGUAAUGCUGCUCAUUACUGUUCAUCAUUAUCUUUACUUUGAACCCUGUCUCUCAUUACACACACACAUCUGCAGACAUCUUCCUGUACUCCACCAUGUGUUUACCAGCAGAGGGUGCUGGAAUAUUUCAACCGAUGAUGAUGAUGAUGAAGGGAA